rnacentral:rRNA from 1 species
GACGAACGCUGGCGGCGUGCUUAACACAUGCAAGUCGAGCGAUGAAGUUCCUUCGGGAAUGGAUUAGCGGCGGACGGGUGAGUAACACGUGGGUAACCUGCCUCAUAGAGGGGAAUAGCCUUCCGAAAGGAAGAUUAAUACCGCAUAAGAUUGUAGUAACGCAUGAUAAAGCAAUUAAAGGAGUAAUUCGCUAUGAGAUGGACCCGCGUCGCAUUAGCUAGUUGGUGAGGUAACGGCUCACCAAGGCGACGAUGAGUAGCCGACCUGAGAGGGUGAUCGGACACAUUGGGAAUGAGACACGGCCCAGACUCCUACGGGAGGCAGCAGUGGGGAAUAUUGCACAAUGGGGGAAACCCUGAUGCAGCAACGCCGCGUGAGUGAUGACGGUCUUCGGAUUGUAAAGCUCUGUCUUCAGGGACGAUGAUGACGGUACCUGAGGAGGAAGCCACGGCUAACUACGUGCCAGCCGCCGCAGUAA